UGAAUAUUUUUAUAGAAAAGUGCCUCUAAAGAUGAUUUUAGAGGAGAAUAGGGAAACAGGUGUAAAUCCUGUGCGGUUAGGCCGCUGUAUCGAAUGACGAAUGCUUAAGGUAAAUCUGCAAUAGAUUUAUUUAAACCACUGCCUCUAAGAGAGAAAUCUCGUUGGCGGGAAGGUUGAGCAAGAGAGUGAUUUCGGAGCCAGAAGACCUGCUUUUCUAUACCUAUCGCA
rnacentral:ncRNA from 2 species